rnacentral:rRNA from 1 species
AACGAACGCUGGCGGCAUGCCUAACACAUGCAAGUCGAACGAGACCUUCGGGUCUAGUGGCGCACGGGUGCGUAACGCGUGGGAACCUGCCCUUAGGUUCGGAAUAACUCCCCGAAAGGGGUGCUAAUACCGGAUAAUGUCUUCGGACCAAAGAUUUAUCGCCUUUGGAUGGGCCCGCGUUGGAUUAGCUAGUUGGUAGGGUAAAAGCCUACCAAGGCGACGAUCCAUAGCUGGUCUGAGAGGAUGAUCAGCCACACUGGGACUGAGACACGGCCCAGACUCCUACGGGAGGCAGCAGUGGGGAAUAUUGGACAAUGGGCGAAAGCCUGAUCCAGCAAUGCCGGGUGUGUGAUGAAGGCCUUAGGGUUGUAAAGCUCUUUUACCCGGGAUGAUAAUGACAGUACCGGGAGAAUAAGCUCCGGCUAACUCCGUG